AAGAGAGACUGUUGGUGCUAUAGAGACUCUGCUCUUUAAAGUCAGAGAAAUCAUACAAAAUUCCAUUGUGUCCCGACCAUAAGAUACCUUUUACUUGGGUCUAACCUUUUUAUGGGUUCUCGGGUUUUGAAAACAGUUCAUCAAAAGAAAAUAUUGAUAGUCUUGAAAAAAUAAAACGAAACAUCUUAUAUUCUCAUACAACAUAUAAGCUGGAAAAUAAUCCAAGAAAACUAUUUAACCCAGUAGAAAUAAUACGCAAGCAAAAUCGUUCUUAGUAUCCAGCAAACCUUUUACGAGGUCGCAUUACGUUUACGUGAACAAAUCGAAUGCAUUUAAAUCGCACCCCGUGUUAUCGAUUGUGCUAAAAAACAUAUGACAUAUUUGUGUAUCGGCCAGAUGUUAAUUUCUCUUGUUGCUUACCGUGUAAACAAACAGGGAGUGAACUUGAAAACCAUCCUGAUUAUACUCUCUAAAACUAGUCCGAGUAAUAGCAACUUUAGGUGUAGAAAACAUGUCUACCGACGGUUCCGGAAUCACGAGAAGUGAUGUUAUUUGGCUUUACUACUUUAAUAUAUGUACAAUCGUUCACC